GGAAUGGCAGAUAGUUGAGAAAGAAGAAGAAGAGGGAAAGCUAAGGACAAUCUAUCUACAAUUUCUACAAAUUAGGACUACAAAACUACAGAGAUAUAUACAAGGAGGACAACUACAACAAAGCACCGGCCGGCAUGGCAAACGCAAUGCAGAACAUUGCGCCGCAUACCGGCCGGCUCCGUUGUCCCCCUGUGCAGGAUUAGUGGCACCAUCUGGGAACUUUAGUGGCGAUGGCUGGACUUGGAGAUGGCGUGCAUCGUGGGCAUUGAUGGUGUUGUUGGCGAGCGGCUCUGGUCCG